UACGGGGGGGGCAAGCGUUGUUCGGAAUUACUGGGCGUAAAGGGCGCGUAGGCGGUUCGCUAAGUUGGAUGUGAAAACUCUGGGCUCAACCCAGAGCCUGCAUCCAAAACUGGCGGGCUAGAGUUCUGGAGGGGGUAGCGGAAUUCCUGGUGUAGCGGUGAAAUGCGUAGAGAUGUGGAGGAACACCGAUGGCGAAGGCAGCCCCCUGGGCUAACACUGACGCUCAUGCACGAAAGCGUGGGGAGCAAACAGG
rnacentral:rRNA from 1 species